rnacentral:rRNA from 1 species
AGAGUUUGAUCAUGGCUCAGAAUGAACGCUGGCGGCGUGCUUAACGCAUGCAAGUCGAACGAUGAAGCCCAGCUUGCUGGGUGGAUUAGUGGCGCACGGGUGAGUAAUAUAUAGGUAACGUGCCUCUUAGUCUGGGAUAGCCAUUGGAAACGAUGAUUAAUACUGGAUACUCCUUCUCUUUAUAGUAAGAGUUGGGAAAGUUUUUCGCUAGGAGAUCGGCCUAUAUCCCAUCAGUUAGUUGGUAAGGUAACGGCUUACCAAGGCAAUGACGGGUAGCGGGUUUGAGAGGAUGAUCCGCCACACUGGUACUGAGACACGGACCAGACUCCUACGGGAGGCAGCAGUGAGGAAUAUUGCACAAUGGAGGAAACUCUGAUGCAGCAACGCCGCGUGGAGGAUGACGCAUUUCGGUGUGUAAACUCCUUUUAUAUGUCAAGAAAAUGACGGUAGCAUAUGAAUAAGCACCGGCUAACUCCGUGCCAGCAGCCGCGGUAAUACGGAGGGUGCAAGCGUUAUUCGGAAUCACUGGGCGUAAAGGACGCGUAGGCGGGAAGCCAAGUCUGAUGUGAAAUCCUAUGGCUCAACCAUAGAACUGCAUUGNAAACUGGUUACCUAGAGUAUGGGAGGGGGAGAUGGAAUUAGUGGUGUAGGGGUAAAAUCCGUAGAUAUCACUAGGAAUACCGAAAGCGAAGGCNAUCUCCUGNAACAAUACUGACGCUAAGGCGUGAAAGCGUGGGGAGCAAACGGGAUUAGAUNCCCCGGUAGUCCACGCCCUAAACGAUGAACACUAGUCGUCGGGAUGCUAGUCAUCUCGGUGANGCACUUAACAGA